rnacentral:lncRNA from 1 species
GCCAAAGCUUGUCAUCUUCUUUGAAUCUUCAAUCCUUCAACACAAAUCAAGAUGAAAAUCAAACUUAAGCACAUUCUAUUCUAAAGUUCAUCUAUCAAUAAGUUCUAAUCAAAAGAAGUAGAUUUGGUCAAGAUUUAUCAUGAAUUGACAAGGAUAAAUGCCUAAAUUUCUCAUCAAAAUAGGUAAAAUUGGCACUUAU